CCUACGGGUGGCAGCAGUGAGGAAUAUUGGUCAAUGGUCGGGAGACUGAACCAGCCAAGCCGCGUGAGGGAGGAAGGUACAGAGUAUCGUAAACCUCUUUUGUCAGGGAACAAAGACUGGGACGCGUCCCCGGAUGAGUGUACCUGAAGAAAAAGCAUCGGCUAACUCCGUGCCAGCAGCCGCGGUAAUACGGAGGAGGCGAGCGUUAUCCGGAUUUAUUGGGUUUAAAGGGGGCGCAGGCGGGCCUUUAAGUCAGUGGUCAAAGGCCGGGGCUUAACCCCGGCCCGGCCGUUGAAACUGGCGGGCUCGAGUGGGAGAGAAGUAGGCGGAAUGCGGGGUGUAGCGGUGAAAUGCAUAGAUA
rnacentral:rRNA from 1 species